rnacentral:tRNA from 1 species
GGAGGCCGAGCUCAGUGGUAGAGCACAGGCUGAGCCUGGACAAGGCCCUGGGUUCAAUUCCCAGCACCUCCC